rnacentral:rRNA from 1 species
UACAGAGGGGGCAAGCGUUGUUCGGAAUUACUGGGCGUAAAGGGCGCGUAGGUGGCCUUCUAAGUCGAACGUGAAAUCCCUGGGCUCAACCCAGGAACUGCGUCCGAGACUGGGAGGCUUGAAUCCGGGAGAGGGAUGCGGAAUUCCAGGUGUAGCGGUGAAAUGCGUAGAUAUCGAGAGGAACACCUGCGGCGAAGGCGGGUUGCUGGGCUGACACUGACGCUGAGGCGCGAAAGCCAGGGGAGCGAACGGG